rnacentral:tRNA from 1 species
GCCGAAGUGGUGGAAUUGGCAGACACGCACGGUUAAGGGCCGUGUGGGGCAACCCGUGUGGGUUCGAAUCCCACCUUCGGCA